UUCAACCAUGCCCAAACUAGCUGCAGUUCAUACCACCUCCCAGUAUUGUAUUCAUCUUGAAUGAGUAUUUCAUGAUAACAUCAGAGCACUCACCAUCGAAUGCUUCCCCCAAAACUGACCUAUGAUCAUUGCUGAAUUGGGGACCAGUCACUCAACAUUUGAGCCUUUUGCAGGAGAUUCUGGAUGCAAACCCUUGCAGUGUCCUAUGGCAGAUACAAGAGGAACUGAAAUGUUCUGCCAAAGCAGCAGAUAUUAUGUCUGUUGAAGUCAUUUUUUCCUCAGGAAGAACUAUUGAGGACAUCUUUGUAGGUAUUGGAGCUGAAUUGGUGAACUCGCAGGUCUGUGGAUCAUGCCUUUCCUGACAGAGGCUCUCAGAUGUUGGGAGUGUCCUGUGGUGCAUCUGUUGAAAGCCACCUAAUACCUGUAUUCUCCUCUCUCCCCAGAGCUGAAGAUUCCCCAUGAUGCAAAUAUCUUUUAUUCCCUGAAUCCUUGAGUCAAGUAUGACUUUGUACUGAGGAAGAAGAUCUUCCCAAGUAAGAAGAACAAUGAGUGGAUCCAGCCCAAACCUCCCCCUCAUGAUGCAACAGAGGCUCAAAAUCACCACAGGAACCUUAAAAGAACAUUUUGCAGCUCUCCGACUGGAAUAUUACUCUCUGAAAAAAGCAUAUACAAGAAGUAUAAAGUGAGAUGGAAGGCACGGCGCUCGGCACAGGUGGAAGGUGGAGCUGCGUGGUGCUUGGUGCAGAACACAGAGGCUUUGCUUGCGGGUCACCAGACCUAGCUCUGGACAAAGCACAAGGUCACCCCAGUAUCCCCCACCUCACCAAAUACCCUAUGCGGGAAACAGACGGAAUCCAUUUUGGAAAACCUUACUCCCCAUCUAUCGGUGAGCGUGGCUACCAGCGUGGUUCUGUGGCUGAUCAGGAGUCUUAUUAAGGAAUUUGGGGCCUGCCCCCACGAGAUGAAGAUGAGGACCAACUUUAUCUUCUAUUAGACGCAGAGUCUCUGGUCUGAUUCCUCAGUCGGCCAUCUUGAAAGCCUGACCGUGCAGAACCCCUGAAGCUCUCCUGGGAGGAACCAUCACCACCCUCGGAAAGGCCACCUCAACUUGGAGAAGAGGACCAAGGCUCAUCAGUGGAUGUGUCCUGUCUUGUGGAAACCCUGACAUACUUCUCUGGGAGCUCGAGGAUGGCCUGGUGCCUGCCCUGCAGCAGGGGAACACCCCCUGUGUCCAUGGGGUUUUGUAUUUGUACCAGGAUUUGGCCAGUACCCAGAAGGCUCUGGAGCUGCUGGGUAAAAGGUAUGGACGCCUCCAGCCAUAUGUUGAGGAGGAGUACCUUCAAGACAAGAAAUCAUGACUCACCUUCUUCUCAUUCCCUAAGAAACAAUAUUGAAGUUAGACCAGUUAAUUACUCUGUAAUGGACUGAACAGUUGGAAUAAAAGGAAGAGUUCCAUGUUUUGCAUUCCAAAUAGAAAGCUGUGCCUUGGCUGGGCUGUAGCUCAGUGGCAGAGUGCUUGCCUAGAAUGUAUGAGGCACUGAGUUCAAUCCUUAGCACUACAAAAAAAAAAAAAAAAAAAAAAAAAAAAAAAAAAAAAAAAAAACAACUAAACAAAGAAAGGCAUGCUGUUGAUCUAAAACUAUUUAAAAGAGAAAGAAAGAAAGAAAGAAAGAAAGAAAGAAAGAAAGAAAGAAAGAAAGAAAGAAAGAAAAGAAAGAAAGAAAAGAAAAAAAAGCUGUGCCUCUUGAAUAGUUAGUCCCAAUGAGAAUGCAAGGGAAAUGUUCAUAAAGAAAAUUAAAGUGCUGCUCCAGGGCAUAUGUGAAUGAUAAGAAAGCAAAACAGCUGAUAGGGAUAAAGUUUUCAUAGUCUGGAGAACAGAUGAAACAAACCACAUUCCCUUAAGCCAAAACCGCAUCCAGAUAAGGCCAAAACAUUAGAUUUUUCUGAUGCCAAGAGAAGGGAGAAAGCUCCAGAAGAAGUCUGAAGGUGGCAGAAUUUGGUUCAUGAUGUUCGAGGCAAGCGGCCCAUCUCCAUAUAAGACAAGUGCAGGGUGAAGCAGCAAGUGCUGAUGUAGAAGCUACAGCAAGUCAUGAAGAAGAUCUUGCUAAGCUAUCUGAUGAAGACGCGAUAUGGUUGAGUUUCUCGGUGUCCCCAAAAAGCUCAUGGGUGAGACAAUGCAAGAAGGUUCAGAGGGGAAAUGAUCCUGUUAUGAGAGCCUAAAGCCAAUUAGUGAAUUAAUCCCCUGGCAGGAUGAACAGGUGGCACAGAUAAAAUGGGGUGCCCACACCCUCCCCAAGCCUGGAGGUGUAGGCGCCACCUAUGGAGGAGUCCAGUUGAGGGUGGAAGCGAACAGCAGUCAUCCUCAACGUUCCACAUUAGGGUUCCACAUUGGAGGUUCCCAGCAACCAGCGGCAUCCCUCUGCGGGCAGGGCAUUCAUCAGCGAGCCUAGGCGCCCUAAGGCCCUUUGGGGAGUCCAGUUGAAUCGGUGGCUGCAUGGAAAUAGGCGUCCAAAUAGGAGCAUCCUCAUCCAUUGGCGGUGGCGGGAGUCUGCUUCCAGUGCAGUGGAGGUGUUGGCAGCAUUGCUGGUGGCCAGGUCGGGACUCCAGUGGCCACAGUGUGGAGCGCUGGCUGUGGCGACAGCGACAGCGUAGGACAGCGGGCCUCAGAGUCAGAGGGCGACCAGAGGAUGGGGUGCCCUGUGCUGUGGCUUCCCCAGGCCACUUGUCUUGCUCCUGGCAGGGCCUGCCUGCUCAGGAAGCAGGACACGGCAGGCGGCGGUACCCACACAGCCUCUGAGGACCUUAUGCUGCGCACGCAGGUGGCGCCUGGCACCGGCCCUGAGCCCCCCGGGUGGCAGCUCGCCCCACCCCGGGUUCACCCUGCCCCUCCCUGGGUUGCGGCCUCUGGGGGGGGAGUAGGCCCGCUGCCAGCCGGGGCAGCCUUUGGAGAGGACACCCACCCUCCCCAGCGACAUCUCUCCUGGGCUGUGGCCACUGAGAGCAGAGGCAGUGGGGGGUGGGGCUACAAAUCUUCCCCCUCAAAGCGCAUCCCUGGAGCGGGACAAGAGUGGAGGGCAUAGAUGGCAGAGGGAACCCCAAGACGUGCCGUCCUUGGUCUUGGUCUUCUGCCACCCUUAGACAAGGAAAUGUACUUUAAAAAAAAUAAUUAGCUCUAAUUAGUUGUACAUAACAGCAGAAUUCACUUUGGUUCAUUGUACAGAAAUGGAGCACAGCUUUUCAUUUCUCUGGUAGAACACGAUGUAGAGUUGCACCAUAUGUGCAGUCCUGCAUGUACCUAGGGUAAUGAUAUCCCUCUCAUUCCACCCUCUUUCCUACCCCAUGCCAGUCCCUCCUAUCCUUCCCCUUUGCCCCAAGUUCCUCCAUUCUUCCCUUGCCCCCCUCAUUAUGGAUCAGCAUCCACUUAUCAGGGAGAACAUUCAGCCUGUUGUUUUUGAGGAUUAGCUUUUUUCACUUACAUAAUAUUCUCCAACUCCAUCCACUUACCUGCAAGUGUCAUAAUUUUAUUCUCUUUUAAAGCUAAGAUUCCAUUGUGCACAUAUACCACAUUUUCUUUAUCAGUUUAGCUCUUGAAGGACUUCUAGGUUGGUUCCACAGUUUACCUACUGUGACUUGAGCUGCUAUAAACAUUGAUGUGGCUGCAUCACUCUAGUAUGCUGAUUUUAAGUCUUUUGGGUAUAGAUUGAGGAGUGGAAUUUCUGGGUCAAAUGGAGGUUCCAUUCCAUGUUUUUUGAGGAAGCUCCAUACUGCUUUCCAGAGUGGUUGUACCAAUUUGCAAUGCCACUAGCAAUGUAUGAGUAUACCUUUCCCCCCCACAUCCUCACCAACACUUAUUGUUGCUUGUAUUCUUGUUAACUGCCAUUCUGGCUGGAGUAAGAUGGUCUUAGAGUAGUUUUGAUUUGCAUUUCUCUAAUUUCUGGUGAAGUUGAACAUAUUUUCAUAUAUUUGUUGAUCGACUGUGUAUCUUCUUCUGUGAAGUGUCUGUCCAUUUCCUUAGCCCAUUUAUUGAUUGGGUUAUUUAUUCUUUGGGUGUUGAAGUUUUUGAGUUUUUUAUAUAUCCUGGAAAUUAGUGUUUUAUCUAAUGUGCGUGUAGUAAAGAUGUUCUCCCACUCUGUGAGCUCUCUCUUCAUAUUAUUGUUUCCUUUGCUGAGCAGAAGCUUUUAAGUUUGAAUCCAUCCCAUUAUUAAUUCUUGAUUUUAUUUCUUAAGUACAGGGUCUCUGGUCUAAUUCCUAGGUCCUUGAUCUACUUUGAGUUUUGUGCAAGGUGAGAGAUCGUGGUUUAAUUUCAGUCUGCUACAUAUGGAUUUACAGUUUCCCCAGCACCAUUGUUGAAGAGGCUAUCGUUUAGCUAAUGUAUGUUUUCGGCACCUUUGGCAAGAAUGAGAUAACUACAUUUAUGUGGGUUUUUCUCUGUAUCUUCUAUUUUGGACCAUUGGUCUACAUGUGUAUUUUGGUGCCAAUAGCAUGCCGUUUUUGUUACUACAGAUCUGUAGUAUAGUUUAAGGUUUGAUAUUGUGAUGUCUCCUACUUCACUCUUCUUGCUAAGGAUUGCUUUGUCAAUAAGGAUUUCUCUGUGUCUACUUUUCCAAAUGAAUUUCAUGAUUACUUUUUCUAUUUCUAUGAGGAAUGUUAUUGGGAUUUUAAUUGGAAUCACAUUAAAUCUGUAUAAGGUUUUUGAUAGUGUGGCCAUUUUGACAAUAUUAAUUCCAUGAGGGAGGAAUUGGAAUCAGGUACCUGCUCAAAAGGGGACGGAUCCGAUAGCCACACCCACCUCAAAAUGGCAAGGAAUGCUUUCCAAGAUGUAGUCGGUGUGCUUCCAGAGCCGGGGUGUCUGGUGAUGUCAGGGGAACCAAUGGCCUUGUGCUGUGGGGAGGUAGCAGCUGAGUGACCUGCGUGGGAGUGGAGCGGAGUCUCGGCGGUCUGCAGAUGUGUUGGUAGGUGGUUCUGCUAAGGCGCUGGCCGAGUCUUAAGUGAACUGCAACUUUGGCUUUGGGUCCUGCUCGGACACUGAGGCCCGGAGUCCUGCGCAAGGUCACAGCGCUGGUCAUUUCUGUAGAGAGAAGCUGUACAGGGGCCUCUAACACUCUCAAGAGAUGCAGAAUUCCUACUAGGAGAGAGAUCUGGGUCACAGAGCAACACAGAUGCUGCUUCCCUCUGGUCCGCCAUCUUGAAAGUCUUUUCAAUUUCUUUCUUUAGUUUUCAUUGUAUAGGUCUUUCAUCUCUUUUGUUAAAUUUAUACCCAAAUAUUUCAUUUUUGAGGCUAUUGUGAAUGGGAUAGUUUUCCUAAUUUCUCUUUCAGAGGGUUCAUCACUAAUAGAUAGAAAUGCAUUAGAUUUAUGGAUAUUGAUUUCAUAUCCUGUGACAUUGCUGAAUUUGUUAAUAUUAGAAGUUUUCUGGUGGAGUUUUUUUGGAUCCUGUAUGUGUAGAAUCAUGUCAUCAGCAAAUAGGGAUAGUUUGAGUUCUUCUUCCCCUAUUCCUAUCUGCCGCAGUCUGGCUGGGCACAAUCAGGAGCCACUUGUCAAAAGAAACUAACUUUAUUUUUAGAACCACACACGCCAAACAAAACAGCCUCUCAGGAAAAACCCUCAGAGCCUCAACUGCCACCACCGGCUUUCCACAAGCCUCUCUCUCCCACACAAGCUUCUCUCCACCUCCCACAAUCCUCCUGCUCUUGAGGCCGAUUGGCUGGGUCACGUGGGCGGAGCCAAAAAAGUCCCCCAAUGAGCAGCUCCGUGGUCUGAAAGGGCAGGGAAACAGCCCAAUGAGCAUCACCGCAGAGGAGCCAAUCAGCUAGAUGUUGCUGGGGCCGCUGUGAGCCAAUCAUCAGCCAGCAGCUGGAAGUUUGCUGGCAGCUGGAAGUUUGCUGGGGCCCCUUUGGCUGUGGCUCUCAACACCUAUCCCUUUAAUUUCUUUCAUCUACAGCUCUGUUGUGUAGUCUAAGCUGUAGUGGAGUUUAAACAGCAGUAUAGUUUAAACUCUGGCUAGAGUAUCAGGGACUAUGUAGAGUAGAAGGUGAGAGAGGGCAUCCUUGUCCUGUUCCAGUUCUGAGAGGAAAUGCUUCCCAUCAGAAAUGCACUUUGAGGAUGAAGAGGUCCUAGUUCCUCUGCUCUCUCCCCCCACAGCCCAGGUGGGAUGUCUCUUAGGAAGGUGGGGGUCCUCUCCCAAGGCUGCCCCACCUGGCAGAUGGCCCAGUUCCCCUGCAGAGGCCACAUCGGGGAUGGGGCGAGCAGCCACCCGGCGGGCUCAUGGCCAGUGCCAGGCGAGGCAGGUGUGGGCAGCCUAAGGUCCUCAGUAGCUGCCUGGGUAUUGCCACCCCCCUCGUGCUGCUUCCUGAACAGGCCGCUCAGCCAGGACCAAGACCCAGGGCCUGGAACAGCCACUGCAGAGGCCAUUCCAGCCUCUCGUCGCCCUUCCACUCUGAGGCUCACUGCCCUGCGCCCUCGCUGCCGCCGCCAGCCUGGAGCUCUUCACUGUAGCCAUCGGACUCCCCACACGGUCGCCAGAUGCCACUGCAGCAGGAUUCCUGUUACCCCAGCAGGAUGAAGAUGCUCACCACUGGACGCCUCUGUGUCCUCAGCCCCGUUUCCAGACUCUACUGGUGCUGCCGCCACCGUGCAGCAACCAAACUCCCAAACCCCAGCUGGACUAUGAUGCUGCCCACCAAGGGCCCAACGUCAAUGCCCUUCACCCCCCGCCAUGAUGCCUGACUCCAAUGCCCCAUGCCGGCUCCCGGAUGAAGCUGCAUGUUGUUGCUGCCACCACCAGACUCCAUCAUGGACGCAUGACAGCGAUACUCAGCACUGGAUGCCCACUUCACCCACUGCAGCCAGACUCCUGUGGCACUGCAGGACAGAAAUGAUCAUGGCAACAUCCCUCUGUUGUCACCACAGCAGCUUCUGGACUCUUCUGCUGCCACCACCACUGUGAGUAUGCAGCAAGGGAUCUCCCAAACAGCAGCUGGAUGCCAACACCUCAGCUGUUGCCACCCCCACGCCAACUCUCAACUCCGGACCUCCUUCGCCUGAUGCCCUACGCCUGAAGCAGCUACAUGUUGCUGCUGCUGCCACCAGAUGCUACCACUCCAUGAGGCCUCUUCAGUGAUUCCAUCCCAAAGAUGCUGCUGUGCUGCCCAAGACCACAGAAGCUGGGAAGUUGGGCAGUCUCCAUCCCAGUCGCCUCAUCAGUGCCCACCGCUUGCCGCCUGCCUUUCCUCCCCCAGGACCACCCACCAGUCCUUCUGGGCCUUUGAACAGGAGUUGUGCUGACUCAGGGAACUCAUCCAAGGAAAACAACUGACCAUCAGGAAGAAGGAAACACCAGAGAAGCUUGAGGAUCAGAAGGACACUAGCCCUGCUCUGGUCACCCUGGAAGCUGGCUAGCCUGCACACACCAAAGCUUGAGGAAACAGCAGCCCUGCUUCAGCCACUUGAGGGCUGGCUGAUCAAUGCAAGGAGGAAAAUAAACUAGGCAACAGGACAAAUGGACUGUUUCGUCCUGUAAGAGGGCUCCCACACUGUGGGGCAUGGCCACCCCUUACUUCUGUCAUAUGCACAGUCCUCUCCUUGGUCUUUACUACAGGACUGACAACCACCAAACACACAGCUAACCCAUAAUGGGGGGCGGGGCAAGGGAAGAUGGGAGGGACUUUGGAUUGGGCAGAGGGGAGUGUGGGAGGGGAGGGGAUAUGGGAGUGGGAAGGAUGGUGGAAUGAGGUGGAUUGUAUUAAUCUAUGUACAUGUAUGAUUGCAGGAAUGGGGUGACUGUGCACUGUGUCUAACCAGAGAAAUGAAAAGUUGCCUCCGUUUGUGUUUAAUAGUCAAAAUGCAUUCUGCUGUUAUAUAUAACUAAUUGAAAAAAAUUCAUAAAGGUCUAAGGCUUAAAAGGAAGUUUAGACACUUUAAUGGUCAUAUAAAUAUGUAUACUUUUCUUAUAUAAAAUUUAAACUUAUUAAUUAAAUUGAAAAAAAAAAAAAAACAACUAGCACAUGUACUAGUUCAAACCUGAAAGGGCAUUAAGGCUUGGGAACCAAGCUCACUCUUUGGAGGAUGGUUUUUCUAUUCUUGGUGGAUUCAAAAGUUUAAUUGACAUAGUAUGGAUUAUGCUAUUGUUUAUUGCUUUCAUAUUUGUCUCCCCUUUACAAUGAAACUAUUGGGUCAACUAUAGAAGCAGCUGUUAGAGGGGGGGGGGCAGGAGGAGGGAAACAUGGAGGGAGAAAUUAAGAUUAUGGCAUUAUAUAAAAUUUUAAGCCUAGAAGAUGAUGUUUUUUGAUUUAAAGGGUUAAAUAAUGAGCAUAGAGGGGGUAACGAUGUAUCACAAAUACUCCAAAUAGUCCAAAUGAUGUAGUGUCCAAAAGAUCCCCACCUUAAUUGUAAUAUAUAAGCCUUUCUCCUAGUAAACAAGAUUUUUUUUUUGAAGUCAACAGGAUUUCUAGAGAGCUCAUUGUAGUUUAGCUCCUCUUUAUUGUAAAGGUCAGGUUUCUCUUUCUUGUAAAAGUUAGGUCUGCAGGGCUGGGGUUGUGGCUCAGUGUUAGAACACUUACCUAGCAGGUGUGAGGCACUGGGUUUGAUUCUUACACCACAUAAAAAUAAAAUAAGGUAUUGUGCCCAUCUACAACUUAAAAAAAAGUUGUGUCAGCAAUCAAACUUGUUGAUGUACAAAAGUUACUCUUUCUCUUUUCUUAGUAAAAUCUUGUGAAACCUCUGUCCAAUCUAAGAACAUGGAAGAAAAAGUAACUAUUAUGUUAGCCAUUGUGUUGUGUAACCAUUCACUGAGUAGAAAUCCCAGAGAACUUCCAUACCUGGGGUCCAGGGAUUUUUUGGCAUUAGCCCCUCUGGAUUACACCAGCUUAAAUAAACCUUGUUCCUGCACAUUUCUCAAGUGUCCAGCCUCCUCUGUCCUACAUCAAUACCUGCUUGAAAUGCUAGAAUGUCCCCAUUCUUGAAGGACACUCAGAGACAGUCUCUCUGGCUCUGCCACAGUAUGAAUUCUAUCCAAAGAUAUUAAUCACAAAAAACUAAAGGGAGAUUACACUAUAGUGACCUCCUGGGGGGAGAUUCAGUGUUGCAUGAUGAAACUUGUAUACAUAUAUUGAAUUGCUAUGAUAUACCCUGUAAAGUAUAGAAAUGAUACAUCUGAAUAAACAUGUUUUGUGAGAAAUUGAA